UACGAAGGGUGCAAGCGUUACUCGGAAUUGCUGGGCGUAAAGCGUGCGUAGGCGGUUUGUUAAGUCUGUCGUGAAAGCCCCGGGCUCAACCUGGGAAUGGCGAUGGAUACUGGCGAGCUAGAGUACGGUAGAGGAGAGUGGAAUUCCCGGUGUAGCAGUGAAAUGCGUAGAGAUCGGGAGGAACAUCAGUUGCGAAGGCGGCUCUCUGGACCAGUACUGACGCUGAGGCACGAAAGCGUGGGGAGCAAACAGG
rnacentral:rRNA from 1 species